rnacentral:rRNA from 1 species
UUCGCCCUUGAGUUUGAUCCUGGCUCAGAGCGAACGCUGGCGGCAGGCCUAACACAUGCAAGUCGAACGGACCCUUCGGGGUUAGUGGCGGACGGGUGAGUAACACGUGGGAACGUGCCUUUAGGUUCGGAAUAGCUCCUGGAAACGGGUGGUAAUGCCGAAUGUGCCCUUCGGGGGAAAGAUUUAUCGCCUUUAGAGCGGCCCGCGUCUGAUUAGCUUGUUGGUGGGGUAAUGGCCCACCAAGGCUACGAUCAGUAGCUGGUCUGAGAGGAUGACCAGCCACAUUGGGACUGAGACACGGCCCAAACUCCUACGGGAGGCAGCAGUGGGGAAUCUUGCGCAAUGGGCGAAAGCUGACGCAGCCAUGCCGCGUGUAUGAUGAAGGUCUAGGAUUGUAAAAUACUUUCACCGGUGAAGAUAAUGACUGUAGCCGGAGAAGAAGCCCCGGCUAACUCGUGCCAGCAGCCGCGGUAAACGAGGGGGGCAAGCGUUGCGCGGAAUACAUGGCGGAAAGGGAGCUGAUGCGGACAUGAAGCAGAGGUAAACCCGGACGGAACGCUGGAC